CAGAUGUUGUGAGUGGAUAAGAGAGAGGGAAAGGCUGGGAAGAUGAGGAUAACCUCGUACCCGGAGACAGCCUGUUACGUGGCCAAUUACAUCCUAAGUAAGCCGUCUCUUGGCCUGUACGAGCCUCUAUAUGUGAGGCGUUAUCAUAGCCCAGACCUCCAGAGCUUCUGCACCCCUCACCAGGGUAAAGGGCCGUACUGGGUGAGUCCUCAGCGCUACCAGGCGUCGGGAACCACCUGGAGCAACUCGCACCACCACCUGGUCGUCUUCCCCGGCAACACCGGCUUCUCUGACAUCCACUCGUCCCAGAGGGCCGGCCACUGCCGUCUGCACCACACACUGGUGUGGAAAUACCGAUGGCAGAAACUAAAGGAAGGAAUGAAACGUUGCUACAGAUGGCAGGCAUGAAGAAUGAUUCCGGAAGACAUAAUGUGUCUGUGCUGUUGUGAAGUGUGUGUGUUUAAACAGGAAGUGGCAGGAGCAGUGCCAGCUUUGCAUAUGAAAAUAGAAAUCAGAUGAGUGGCAUGAUAUAAGCGGUGUUAAAGCUGAGUGAUCAUUACUGUGCAUGUCUUGCUCUGUUUAUGUGUUUCGUUGCAUGUUAUCUGCUCUGAUUAUUGCAAAAAUGUUUUAAUAAAUCCACAACUGUGUUCCUUAUAAAGAUGACA
rnacentral:lncRNA from 1 species